rnacentral:rRNA from 1 species
GACGGAGGGCGCAAGCGUUGUUCGGAAUUACUGGGCGUAAAGCGCGCGCAGGCGGGAAGAUAAGUCUGGAGUGAAAUUCCGGGGCUCAACUCCGGAGCUGCUUUGGAUACUGUCUUUCUAGGGACCGGUAGAGGCCGGUGGAAUUCCCGGUGUAGCGGUGGAAUGCGUAGAGAUCGGGAAGAACACCCGUGGCGAAGGCGGCCGGCUGGGCCGGAUCCGACGCUGAGGCGCGAAAGCGUGGGGAGCAAACAGGAUUAGAUACCCUGGUAGUCCACGCUGUAAACGAUGGGCACUAGGUGCCGGGGGGAGCGACCCCGUCGGUGCCGUAGCUAACGCGAUAAGUGCCCCGCCUGGGGAGUACGGCCGCAAGGCUGAA